CAUAUACUCCCUCCGUUCGAAAAUACUUGUCAUCAAAAUGAAUAAAAGGGGAUGUAUCUAGAUGUAUUUUAGUUCUAGAUACAUUCCUUUUUGUCCAUUUUGAUGACAAGUUUUUUCGGACGGAGGGAGUACUAA
rnacentral:pre_miRNA from 1 species